UGAGGUGAGAUGGAUGACUAUAGUGGUAUCUACCAGGUCCAUACAGACACUGGAGGGGAUGAGGUGAGAUGGAUGACUAUAGUGGUAUCUACCAGGUCCAUACAGACACUGGAGGGGAUGAGGUGAGAUGGAUGACUAUAGUGGUAUCUACCAGGUCCAUACAGACACUGGAGGGGAUGAGGUGAGAUGGAUGACUAUAGUGGUAUCUACCAGGUCCAUACAGACACUGGAGGGGAUGAGGUGAGAUGGAUGACUAUAGUGGUAUCUACCAGGUCCAUACAGACACUGGAGGGGAUGAGGUGAGAUGGAUGACUAUAGUGGUAUCUACCAGGUCCAUACAGACACUGGAGGGGAUGAGGUGAGAUGGAUGACUAUAGUGGUAUCUACCAGGUCCAUACAGACACUGGAGGGGAUGAGGUGAGAUGGAUGACUAUAGUGGUAUC